UUUAUAAUUCUGGCACCUUCGGUGUCCGAGUUGUAAUCUCUAGAAAUGUUUUCCGCGUUGGACCGCACACAAGUCUGUUGGAAUACAGCGGCAUAGUGGUGAGACCCCCGUAUAUGGUGCGGACGCCCAGCGCUUUGUGAUACAUUUUCGAAGAGUCGAGUUGUUUGGGAAUGCAGCUCAAAUUGGGUGGUAAAUUCCAUCUAAAGCUAAAUAUUGGCGAGAGACCGAUAGCGAACAAGUACCGUGAGGGAAAGAUGAAAAGCACUUUGGAAAGAGAGUUAACAGUACGUGAAAUUGUUGGAAGGGAAACGCUUGAAGUCAGACUUGCUUGCCGAGCAAUCGGUUUGCAGGCCAGCAUCAGUUUUCCGGGAUGGAUAAUGGUAGAGAGAAGGUAGCAGUUUCGGCUGUGUUAUAGCUCUCUGCUGGAUACAUCUUGGGGGACUGAGGAACGCAGUGUGCCUUUGGCGGGGGUUUCGACCUCUUCACACUUAGGAUGCU
rnacentral:rRNA from 1 species